rfam:Nitrococcus mobilis Nb-231 scf_1099646003885 genomic scaffold, whole genome shotgun sequence.
GGAGUAACCCACCCGGCAAAGACUGCCCAUCAGCCGGAAGCGAGUCUUGGGUGGCGAUGUGGCGACCCCCGUCACGAAGCGUAGACAGCGAGUGAACAGGCCGUGUGAUUGAGCCUCGAAACACGCAACUCGGGAGCCGACGUCUUAAUGGCGACGCAAGGCAGCACGGAACCACCGCGCUGGCAAGGUGGCGAAGUCCCGGCGGGGUCGGAGAGCG